CAUGUUAUUUAUAGCCAUGUUAUUUAUAGCCUGUUAUUUAUAUCCUGUAUUUAUAGCAUGUUAUUUUCUACUCCCUGUAUAUAGUCAUGUUAUUUUCUACUCCCUGUAUAUAGCCAUGUUAUUUAUAGUCAUGUUAUUUUCUACUCCCUGUAUAUAGUCAUGUUAUUUUCUACUCCCUUAUAUAGUCAUGUUAUUUUUCUACUCCCUGUAUAUAGCCAUGUUAUUUUCUACUCCCUGUAUACAGCCAUGUUAUUUAUAGCCAUGUUAUUUUAGCAUGUUAUUU
ensembl:lncRNA